GUUUCCUGUCUGUCUGCUGUUAGUGUUUCUGUUUCAGUUUCCUGUCUGUCUGCUGUUCGUGUUUCUUGUUUUGUAUUAUGUUCUGUUUAUUUGUUAAAUAUUCACUUCCUGUACUUGCUUCCCCGACUCUUGGUGCACAUUCGUUACAUCAGGUGAAUAUCAGGUGAAUAUGUUUAAUUUGACAGUUUUAUCUAAAAGUAAACAGCCAUAAUGAACUAAAUCUAUCUAAAUGACAACGCUUUGAGAUUUCUUUACGUAAUGAACAGAAACGCUGAAAAAAGGUUUUAUUGUUAUUGAGAAAAUACGUUUUUUAAAUUGUUCAUUAUUUUACAUUUUUCUGAAAUUCACUGAGUAGAAUGGUCCUACCCUUCCUCCUCUGAGGACCCUCACACACACACACACACACACACACACACACACACACACACACACACACACACCAUCUAAAUAUCAGAACAUUUGGUUAUAGCCCUGAUGCAGAUGUAAAAAAGUAUGUUGAUAUUUGCAUUGUGAAAGUCCUCUCAUAUACAGCUUGGAUACUCCGUUGCCAGGGAGACAGCGUGUAUAGUAUAGCGACACUGUCAUACCGAAGUUGAGUAGUAGUUGGGGCGUCAGGGAAGGGGGUGGGGAUGAAGUGUGUGUGUGUGUGUGUGUGUGUGGGUGUGUGUGUGUGUGUGUGUGUGGUGUGGAGGGAUCCUGUAUUGAUUGAAAUCUCUCUGUAUACUGUAACCUGACCCCUCUCUGGUCGCCAGGUCUCUGCUGUCACACAGGGGUCGCUGGGCGUAACAGUGUCAGGACACGGAGGUCUCUGCUGUUAUACAGGGGUCGCUGGGUGUAGCAGUGUAGCAGUGUCAGGACACGGAGGUCUCUGCUGUCACACAGGGGUCGCUGGGCGUAACAGUGUCAGGACACGGAGGUCUCUGCUGUCACACAGGGGUCGCUGGGUGUAGCAGUGUCAGGACACGGAGGUCUCUGCUGUUAUACAGGGGUCGCUGGGUGUAGCAGUGUAGCAGUGUCAGGACACGGAGGUCUCUGCUGUCACACAGGGGUCGCUGGGCGUAACAGUGUCAGGACACGGAGGUCUCUGCUGUUAUACAGGGGUCGCUGGGUGUAGCAGUGUAGCAGUGUCAGGACAUGGAGGUCUCUGCUGUCAUACAGGGGUCGCUGGGCGUAACAGUGUCAGGACACGGAGGUCUCUGCUGUUAUACAGGGGUCGCUGGGUGUAGCAGUGUAGCAGUGUCAGGACAUGGAGGUCUGCUGUCACACAGGGGUCGCUGGGCGUAGCAGUGUCAGGACACGGAGGUCUCUGCUGUCAUACAGGGGUCGCUGGGUGUAGCAGUGUAGCAGUGUCAGGACAUGGAGGUCUCUGCUGUCAUACAGGGGUCGCUGGGCGUAACAGUGUCAGGACACGGAGGUCUCUGCUGUCACACAGGGGUCGCUGGGCGUAACAGUGUCAGGACACGGAGGUCUCUGCUGUUAUACAGGGGUCGCUGGGUGUAGCAGUGUAGCAGUGUCAGGACACGGAGGUCUCUGCUGUCACACAGGGGUCGCUGGGCGUAACAGUGUCAGGACACGGAGGUCUCUGCUGUCACACAGGGGUCGCUGGGCGUAACAGUGUCAGGACACGGAGGUCUCUGCUGUUAUACAGGGGUCGCUGGGUGUAGCAGUGUAGCAGUGUCAGGACACGGAGGUCUCUGCUGUCAUACAGGGGUCGCUGGGUGUAGCAGUGUAGCAGUGUCAGGACAUGGAGGUCUCUGCUGUCACACAGGGGUCGCUGGGCGUAGCAGUGUCAGGACACGGAGGUCUCUGCUGUCACACAGGGGUCGCUGGGUGUAGCAGUGUCAGGACACGGAGGUCUCUGCUGUCAUACAGGGGUCGCUGGGUGUAGCAGUGUCAGGACAUGGAGGUCUCUGCUGUCACACAGGGGUCGCUGGGUGUAGCAGUGUCAGGACACGGAGGUCUCUGCUGUCAUACAGGGGUCGCUGGGUGUAGCAGUGUCAGGACACGGAGGUCUCUGCUGUCAUACAGGGGUCGCUGGGUGUAGCAGUGUCAGGACACGGAGGUCUCUGCUGUCACACAGGGGUCGCUGGGCGUACCAGUGUCAGGACACGGAGGUCUCUGCUGUCAUACAGGGGUCGCUGGGUGUAGCAGUGUCAGGACAUGGAGGUCUCUGCUGUCAUACAGGGGUCGCUGGGCGUAGCAGUGUCAGGACACGGAGGUCUCUGCUGUCAUACAGGGGUCGCUGGGUGUAGCAGUGUCAGGACACGGAGGUCUCUGCUGUCAUACAGGGGUCGCUGGGUGUAGCAGUGUCAGGACACGGAGGUCUCUGCUGUCACACAGGGGUCGCUGGGUGUAGCAGUGUCAGGACAUGGAGGUCUCUGCUGUCAUACAGGGGUCGCUGGGUGUAGCAGUGUCAGGACACGGAGGUCUCUGCUGUCAUACAGGGGUCGCUGGGUGUAGCAGUGUCAGGACACGGAGGUCUCUGCUGUCACACAGGGGUCGCUGGGCGUACCAGUGUCAGGACACCGAGGUCUCUGCUGUCAUACAGGGGUCGCUGGGCGUAGCAGUGUAGCAGUGUCAGGACA